AGCCCCAUCCUCCCGCGCUUCGUUCCCGCACGCCGCUAUUGGCUCCUCGCCCCAAUUCGCGUGCCCAAAUCCUCCGCCCUCCGGCCAAUCCCUCCUAGCGCCGCUGCCCAAAUCCAUCGCUGCUCCGGCACCCAAACCCUCUCCUAGCGCCGCUGCCGCUAUCCCAUGCUGCUCGUGCGCCUGAAUCCUACUAGCGUCGCUCCCAGAUCCCUGCAACAGCUGCUCCUGCCCCGCUCCCAAAUCCCUCCGCCCCAAGCUCCGCCCCCUGGAACAUCUGCUCCUGUCGACCGAAAAGAUGUCAUGGCGGGGGAAGUCGCUUCCGAAGCUUGACGGUGUCACGGCGAAGCGCAGCUGUGGAACAUCUUCUUCUUCAACCACCUCAACUCCUUCGGCACCACCACCGCAGACUGAUUCGCUGCCACCCCCACCGUCAACUGCUCCAUGUUGGUCCAGAUAUGGAGUUGGCACCGGUCCUGGUUCUUCUUCUUCUUCUGGAAACCAAGGGGCAAAUCCAUGGUAAUCCAUCCAUUUUUUGAUGUUUGUUAUUUAUGCAAAUGUUUGAUGCAAUGUUCUACUGUGCAUUGAGACUGGCUUUAUAAAGCAAAUGAAACAUUAAUUCUGCGCGCUGCUUUGUCGCCCUUGGCGCCUCGGGGGAGAUAGUGAGGGAAAUAGAGAGUCCAUUCGUGACAGGGAGUCCGCGGUUGCCGUUGCCGGACAGGAAAGGGAGGUACGGAGGAGAAAGCAUGGACCGCGGAGGUUGCAAAUGUUGGUUCGUCCCAUCGGUCUUAUGAAAAUAUUCGAAUCAUGAUUGAUAUUUGCGAUCCGAAUUAGAGGAUUUUUAUAUUUACAAUAUAUCCUAAUUCGGAUCGCGACUAUUAAGUUCCGUUUGAAUCCAAGUGUUAAUGGAUGAAAGUGCUAAACUUUAGCAUUAGUAUAUCUAAAUAGGAGUGAAUAGGAUGGGCUAUGUGGUGACUUUGUCAAUCUUGAAGAUUUGGUAGCUUAGUUUUCGAAAAUGUUCAUACUAGUAGGGUUUGCGUUCAUGUGUUUAUAGCGGUGAGUGAGGAGUUUGUGCGCGUUGUGAGUGAUUGAGCUGUGUAAUUAAAAAAAAAGAGGCACCACGUAACACAGAAGACAUACAGAUACAGCUGAUUGAAUAAAGUGAUAGACAAGUAGUCCACCAUAUCAAAGGUCUGCGUAUGUCAAGUACCUGUCUUUCCCAUUGAGGUUGCUCCAGAACCUUUCUGUCUUCAGCUACUUGGCUGAGCACAACGAACUUUAAAUCCUUCCUUUUUUGCUGACUGGCGGGAGAGCAAUAUCAAAUUAGCAACCACGACGAGUUCAUUCGUCACUGCAGAGUCCCCAGUGCUGGGCAUUGCUGUAAUGCAGCAAGCAGCAUAUAUGGAAAGCAUACCAAGAAAAUCUGGUAACCGUUCUUGAUCGGCUGCUACCUUCGUGCUCCAUCAUGGAGUACAAAAAUCCCACUUUUUAUCCGACUAAAAGAAUACCAACUUUCAGUUUCUUUUACAUAUAUAUGCACAACAUGAAAGAAAUGAUAUGCUGCUGAUCUCGAGUCAUGAUAAACAAAGCAGAAGGUUUAUUCUCCAUGAA